rnacentral:rRNA from 1 species
CUCUUCACCCCCAGCCCACCCCCCUCCCUCUCCCCCACCCCACCCACAGCCUCACUCUCGCAACACACCUACCACGCGCAGCGCGCAGAGGGAGAUCGAGAUGGCGACGGAGCUGACGGCGGCGCAGCUGCGGGCGUACGACGGCACCGACGCGUCCAAGCCGAUCUACGUCGCCAUCCGCGGCAAGGUCUUCGACGUCUCGGCCGGGCGCGGCUUCUACGGGCCCGGCGGCGACUACGCGCUCUUCGCCGGCCGCGAGGCCGCCCGCGCGCUCGCCAAGAUGUCCAAGGACGCCGCCGACGUCUCCGGCGACCUCUCCGGCCUCUCCGACAAGGAGCUCGGCGUGCUCGCCGACUGGGAGUCCAAGUUCCAGGCCAAGUACCCCGUCGUCGCCCGCCUCGCCGCCUGAUGUGAAGUCAAUCGGGCCACCGGCACCCCUCUUCCGUCCUCAGCUACUAUCGCUUGAUUUAGGUGGAGCAUGGCUCUGUAUGGAGCAGCGCGCUGAAUGUCCAGCCUCCCAUGUAAAUUCAGUGCUGCGGGUUUACAUAGGCUCAUUUUCAUUGUAUUUUGGGGAAACCAAAGUUUUCUCCACUUUAUUGUGGCAGUCUGGAUGUAUGCUGGCGAUAAUAUAGUAGUUUCCGGUGGAAAGUUAGAAUUUGCUGGUUUAGAUGUCUUGUCUGUUUUUUAGAUUUAGAGCAGUCCACUGGUGGAUGAACAUGAACUUCCAUUCAGGCUAUAGCUUACUGUUUCUGAAAGGUUUAGCAAGUCUUGUCUGUUCUUUCCAUUUAGAACAGUCCACUGGUGGAUGAACAGGAACUUCCAUUCUGGCUAUAGCUUACUGUUUCUGAAGGCGUCUCGAGGGGUGAAACCGCUUAGCGCGGUCAGUUUGUGUUUCGUUCUGUUUUAGUACUGCGUAAGGGCAGUAGGGCUGAUACCCUUGGCAGUGUUGAUUUCUCAAUGUCCCUCGCGGUGUCCUGUGUCAUCUCCGAAC